rnacentral:lncRNA from 1 species
AGUAGAAGGUAACUAUCAUUGUGGUUCUAUUACAGUUUUUUGAGUGAAAUUACAAGACUUUUAUGCCCUAUGUUACAGCCUGGUAUGUUCCACUAGUAUCUUAUUGAUCCCAAAUUCUUCAACCAGAGCAGUACCUCAGCAAAUCCUUCUCUGAGGCUUCUGGGCUUAUAACCCAGCUCUCUUUUAGCUUUCUCACAUGAAUACUCCCACUGAUGUCUUAAAACAUGCACGGUCUGAUCCAACAUUAAAGCACAAAAAUAAAAAGAGCAACAUUAGGAAUUCACAUUAUACAAUAGAACAGCCCCAAGAGACCACUUAUAGAUUGAAUCCAUUUUUAAUCCCCUCACAAUCACUUCAUCUAUAAAUGUUUCCCCUACUAGCUUCUAUACCAGAAUCACAUCUAUUUUAAACACAAACUUAGAGUACGUUUGGAUUCAAAUUCAAAUCUUUCAAAAUCAAUUCUGCUCCUACAAAGAGGUACUAGUUGUAUGUUUGGAAAAGCUUCUGGCGUAGAAUCCAAGGCAAUGUGAGCUAGAGUAGCUACAUAUUGGAGCUUCUCUUACCGUGAAUUUAAAUCAUACCAUAGAGUGUUUCCAAAUACUAAUUAGGCGUAACUUCUCCCAAAAUCAAUUUUUCUUCCAAUUAGGCGUAUCUAAACAUGCACUUAAAUGAUUCAAGAAGUGCUAAAACAAAAGAGCUUACCGGCGGACUGAUGAGGGGUAACUUGCCAGUGAUUCGAGAAACCAAAACAGAUAUCCAGCCAUAAACUUCAAUACCCCGCAAAGGGAUGUUAAUCGCUGGUUUUCUAGUAUCAGUUAUCACAGCAGCCAUGUCAAAAAUUUCCUUGAACGACGCAUUUUCACCCGUCAGCAGAUACCUAUUCCCAAGCUCUCCUUUCUCCAUUGCUGCAAUGUGACCCUCCACCACAUCAUCCACAUGGCUGAACGAAAAUUUAUCAUUCCCACUGCCAAUGUAACCAGGUAAUCGACCACAAAAUCGUUCUACAAGCUUACAAGUGAAACAAAAAUAAAUAAAAACACACUUUUCAGUUUCACUUCCAAUAUAGAGAAAAAAAAAAGCAUAACCAUGUAGAUAUGAUAAAACAGAACAAAAUUCAUAUAUGAUAAAACAGAACAGAAGCAAAGAAGAUUACCAUCCUUGCAACAACGUUUCCUGCAGUGACCUUGCCAGGCCCAUAGAUUACACCAGGAUAAAGCAACACUAUAGGCAUACCCUCUGACGCAGCUUGCAUUGCAAUCUUGUCAGCAGCAACCUUUGAUUUCUCAUACUCAGUGCAGAAAAAUUUCUCGUGAUGGGUCUGCAAUUAAAAUUAGAAAAUGGGUUUCUUAGAAUCAAACACACCAUCAACGAAAAGCAAGAAAAAAUAACUUUGAAUCGGUUACUUGAUUUUCAUCGGCAAUGCUUUCAUCAGUUGGUCCAAGAGCAAAAAACGACGACGUGUAUCCGAGUUUCUCCACUGUGUUGCUCUGCUUCACCGCCUCCAACACAUUCUUCAACCCUCCAACGUUGACCUGAAAGCGAUUUUCGGAUUGAAUCAACAACAGGGUUGAAUUUAUUGAUGAUGAAUGAGUGAAAAGGAGCUUACGGAGAAGAUUAUAGAGGGAUCAGGGAGCCAGGGCUCGACGAGCNNNNNNNNNNNNNNNNNNNNGCCGUAGAAGAUCUCGGAAGGCGGUGGAAGGGCGGAGAGAUCGCUGGUGCGUCUGGCGAGGAUCCUGACGGAGUAACCUUGUCGGAGAAGCGCGUGACAGAGCCUUCCUCCGAGGUAACCGGUUGCUCCGGUGACCAAUACCUUGUUCAUUUUCUCACUCACUGAAUUCUUUACCAGAAAAGUCAAUGUUCUGAACCUCCUCCUGACUUUGACUCCCGUCAGCACCGUUUACCAACUUGUCCCACCUAUUCCUUUUGCACCUUCUUCUCUUAAGAGUUUGUUUGGUAUAGAAGAGCAAGUAAGUGAGAGAGAGAAAAUUAAGUAGAGAUAAAGUUGUGAGGAAAAAAAAGUCUAGAUUUAAUAGGUUGUUUGGCUUUUUUUAUAAUCCAUGAAAUAUAUUGAAAUGAAAUAGAAGGGGUACUCACCCCAAUAUAAAGAAAAGUAAAAUAGACCUCGUUUUGAAACACAGCUUAAUUAAGCGCUUAUGACAUAAGCGCUUAGAAAUAAGGUAUUUUAAGCUUUUUAUUAAAAUAAAUUGAAAAUAAGCUCAAAACAGCUUAUGACAGGUCAUAAAUUGUUUGCAUAAGCUCUCCCAAACACUGGUAUAAGAGUUUAUGCUAUCAGAUAAGCUCAAAUAAGUUCUUCAAAACAGGGAAGUAGCAGGGAAAGCUAAAGCCAUUUUGGUAAAACUCAAGCUUUACACUUCAAAAGAAAACCCCGCAAGCUAGACUUUAGAAAAAAUGCAUCAUUAAAACCUUUUUAGGAAAAACCUUAUUGGAAUAAAAACCUAGUGAAGGAAAAAAAGUCUUCUUAUAGGUUGUUUAUGAAAGAGAAAAGCAAGUAUUGUGACAUCUUCAUCGCUUUAUUUGGUUAAAUAGAAAGUGAAAAGGGAGAAAAUUAUUUUUAUGUAAAAAGGAGGACAACUGGUUUGAUGGUGAGGAAAGUGCAACGAUGAUUCCCACCAAGGAGUAAAUGUUAAAGAUCCACAAACUGAUGGAAUCUUUGUGGCGGAGAAUGAUGUGAAUGACGACUGAGGGCUUGUUUUAUUACAGUUUCUGAAAACUGUAUUAAAAACUGUUACUGUUUUUCCAAGAAAAGAACAGUUUUUUCUUUCAAGAAAAAAUUAUUUGAAUUAUAUGUUUUCUAAGAUUAAAAAAAUUGUAAUCUGAAAACUAAAAACUGAAACAGAAAACAUUUUUUUAACUAUUAUGGUAAAACUGAAAUUGAGAACUAUUUUACAAAGCUGACAAGUUUUUUUUUCUUCUAGUUUUUAAAAUAGAAAACAAUUUUCAAAAACUGAAAUCAAACAGACUCUAAUAUUCUACGACGGAGAAGCCCCAUAGAAAAAUCAUAUAGCAUGGACGACGCUAGGAGGCUCAACGACGUUGGUGGACGAUAACGACGCUAGAAGAUUCAACAAAGCUAGUGGAAGAUAACAACAGUGAAAAGCUCGAUGACACGGGCGACAACGUUGGAAGGCUCGACGACGUAACAAUGAUGAUGACGCUGGUGAGGGGAGAAGAUGAAUUUGAUUUCGCAAAGCUGCUUAUACCUUUAAUAUUCAUUUUAUUUUAUUCUUAUAAUUAACAUAUCUCUGGAAUAUUUGAACCCUUCCUUUAACCUUUAGUCCAACGACCAUGACAUAUUGCUUUAAAGAGAUUGAGGGAUUUAGUGUUGUAGAGGCUUUGGAUUGAUGAAGAACACAAUCCGGUUUUCUUCUUAAUUUGAUAAUAUUGCGUAAAGGUUGUAGGACCCACCAUUUUUAGACUCUCUCGGUCUCUCCAUUUGAGAAGAUGCAAAUCAAAUGAGGGAAGAGCUAACCUAACUCUCUCUUCCCUCUUUCUCUCUGCCCAAACCACCUCCAUACAAACACAACAUUAAUUUGAAAAAUGUUUAGUAGACGACUCAGGACGGUAGAAAUUCAGAGUGAGUAAGGAAAAGAGUAAGGAGAAGUAAUAUAUAUGAUAUAUAUUUGAUGUAAUGUAAUAAUUAAGAAGUAAGAAACGUAAAGAAAAAUCAAGUGUUUGAGGAAUGUAUUUAUUGUCGGUGCUCUAUAAUUUUAUGUAUCAUAAUUGUUUUAAUUAUUAUUUUAAAAGGCUCUUAAUCUUAAUAGGUGUAACUUUUUUAUUUGUUAGCUAAAACAUAUCUAACUAAAAUAUUUGCUCUGUCCCUGAUUAUAAACUAAAGUUGUAAAAAUCAUGGUUAUUAAGAAAGUCUUAAUUGAUACAUUUAUUUUUUAAAAAAUGGUACAAUAUUCCAUAUUUACCAAUAUUUAAGUGGGUAGUACAAGGAAAAAAGAGAAUAAGAGUAAGUUUCAAUUUCAAAUUUUUGAAAUUGAAAAACCAAUAAAUGCAAGGACAAAUAUGGAAAAAAUAUUUAACUUUUAUUAGUUAGCUUAUAUUUAGUGACACCACAUACUUUACGGAAAGAGUAGAAUUUAAUUUACAAACUGAUGUAAAAUAUAAUUUUGUAAGAAUGAAAUUAUCAUCCAUGAACCAAAAUAUGAGUAUUUCCAUAAGGAAAAUGUUGUGGGGCACGAUCUUAGGGCUCGUGCACCACGCACGAAGCACUUUCUAGCGGUUUAAAACCGCCAGAAACCGUACGAAAAAAUAUGUGUUUUUUUUUUUUUUGUGUAUUUUUUUUUUUGGGGGUUUUUAAAACCGCCACAAAAUUACUCUCGUGCAUCUCGUACUAUAUAGCAUUGCUCUUUCCAUAAAUUAAGAAUGUAUUUCAAAAACAAAAUAGAGGGAUCAAAACCAAGAAUUCUCUAUUUUGUAAGGAUAAAAAACACAUUUAACUCAAUGCAUGUUUGUAAUUACAUGUAUAAAGAAGUUUUACUAUAAAGAAGUAAAAUUAACAAAAAGGAAAAAUAUUGUGUAUCAAGUGUGAGUAAGUCUCACAUUGGAAGAUAAGAAUAACUUGAACGGUUUAUAAGUGUGAGGGCUCAUACACCUACUGCCUUAAGGUUUUGGGUAAAAGAUGUGGUGUCCAACUCACUUGUGAUUUGCUCUUUAGCCAUAUGUGCAUGGAUUAUCCCCUAUAAUUUAAAUCACCUCCUUUAGGCCCAACAAUGAUAUCAGAGCUGAUGGUUGUUUGAGCAUGGUGACCGGCUCUUGGCUUCUUGUGUCUAAAGUCUUCUUGACAAUAUUGUGGUCAGGCGGCGAGUCUCGUUGAUCAACCCAACAAUGCCGUAUUUGGAGGCUGUAGCUUUCGUUUAAGAUAGACUUACACUCAAGGGAGAGAUUUAUAACAGGACCUUGAAUUUUUUUAAGUCUAGUACCCGUAUUAAGUAAUUUAAUAGAUUAUUAUCAUGUUAAUCAAGGUAAAUAUUAAAUUUUUAGGUUUUACUUUACUUGUCAAUUAACUUUAUCUCAUGAAAUUCAUUUUUUAAUGAAAAAUGGACGAGUGGUGCAAACGAAGGAUAGUGAUGGAGAUGCGCGUAAAAUAACCAUGAUUGAUGAAUGAACAAAGCUUAGAAAGCACAACUCGCAAAUCUCACAUCCCUAAUAAUGCAACAAGUCUUUAUUAUUGAACCAACACAUUUUGGAUACCCACCAUAAUCUGGCUUAACGUACCACAUCAACCCCCUUCAAUAAUUUCCACCAACACAGGCUAGUAGUAGGUAACUAUCAUUGUGGUUUUAUUACAGUGUUUUUCCGAAAUUACAAGACUUGAUGCCCUAUGUUACUGCUUGAGUGCUUGGAGUGUUCCAAUAAUAUUUGAUUAAUCCCGCGUUCUUCAAACAGAGCAGUACCUCCGCAAGUCCAUCGCUUAGGCUUCUGGGAUUAUAAUCCAGCUCUCUUUUAGCUUUCUCGCAUGAAUACUCCCAUGCACUGAUGUCUUAAAACAU